rnacentral:lncRNA from 1 species
CUAUAGUGUUAACAUGACCAUCUAGCCCCCCUGGGCCCCUCAUGCCUCCAUAAAUAUAGUAAAAAUCUUACUGUAUUCAAGCCAGAAGCUGUAAAUCUGCAUGCUGUUAGACUCAGGAAAAACAAGCAGUCUGCUGAUAUGUGAUAGCCUGAUCCAAUCACAGUGCUUCCCCAUAGGAUUGGCUGAGACUGACAAGGAGGCAGAUCAGGGGCAGAGCCAGCAUGAUUCAAACACAGCCCUGGCCAA